rnacentral:rRNA from 1 species
UUGAACGCUGGCGGCAGGCCUAACACAUGCAAGUCGAACGGUAACAGGAAACAGCUUGCUGUUUCGCUGACGAGUGGCGGACGGGUGAGUAAUGUCUGGGAAACUGCCUGAUGGAGGGGGAUAACUACUGGAAACGGUAGCUAAUACCGCAUAACGUCGCAAGACCAAAGAGGGGGACCUUCGGGCCUCUUGCCAUCGGAUGUGCCCAGAUGGGAUUAGCUUGUUGGUGGGGUAACGGCUCACCAAGGCGACGAUCCCUAGCUGGUCUGAGAGGAUGACCAGCCACACUGGAACUGAGACACGGUCCAGACUCCUACGGGAGGCAGCAGUGGGGAAUAUUGCACAAUGGGCGCAAGCCUGAUGCAGCCAUGCCGCGUGUAUGAAGAAGGCCUUCGGGUUGUAAAGUACUUUCAGCGGGGAGGAAGGGAGUAAAGUUAAUACCUUUGCUCAUUGACGUUACCCGCAGAAGAAGCACCGGCUAACUCCGUGCCAGCAGCCGCGGUAAUACGGAGGGUGCAAGCGUUAAUCGGAAUUACUGGGCGUAAAGCGCACGCAGGCGGUUUGUUAAGUCAGAUGUGAAAUCCCCGGGCUCAACCUGGGAACUGCAUCUGAUACUGGCAAGCUUGAGUCUCGUAGAGGGGGGUAGAAUUCCAGGUGUAGCGGUGAAAUGCGUAGAGAUCUGGAGGAAUACCGGUGGCGAAGGCGGCCCCCUGGACGAAGACUGACGCUCAGGUGCGAAAGCGUGGGGAGCAAACAGGAUUAGAUACCCUGGUAGUCCACGCCGUAAACGAUGUCGACUUGGAGGUUGUGCCCUUGAGGCGUGGCUUCCGGAGCUAACGCGUUAAGUCGACCGCCUGGGGAGUACGGCCGCAAGGUUAAAACUCAAAUGAAUUGACGGGGGCCCGCACAAGCGGUGGAGCAUGUGGUUUAAUUCGAUGCAACGCGAAGAACCUUACCUGGUCUUGACAUCCACGGAAGUUUUCAGAGAUGAGAAUGUGCCUUCGGGAACCGUGAGACAGGUGCUACAUGGCUGUCGUCAGCUCGUGUUGUGAAAUGUUGGGUUAAGUCCCGCAACGAGCGCAACCCUUAUCCUUUGUUGCCAGCGGUCCGGCCGGGAACUCAAAGGAGACUGCCAGUGAUAAACUGGAGGAAGGUGGGGAUGACGUCAAGUCAUCAUGGCCCUUACGACCAGGGCUACACACGUGCUACAAUGGCGCAUACAAAGAGAAGCGACCUCGCGAGAGCAAGCGGACCUCAUAAAGUGCGUCGUAGUCCGGAUUGGAGUCUGCAACUCGACUCCAUGAAGUCGGAAUCGCUAGUAAUCGUGGAUCAGAAUGCCACGGUGAAUACGUUCCCGGGCCUUGUACACACCGCCCGUCACACCAUGGGAGUGGGUUGCAAAAGAAGUAGGUAGCUUAACCUUCGGGAGGGCGCUUACCACUUUGUGAUUCAUGACUGGGGUG